ensembl:lncRNA
UUAUAAUGCAAAAAAAAGUUCAACAAACUGUUUUUAAUGUGAUUGUUGAGCUAUUAUUAAAGACAAACAUUUGAUAUUUUGAAUGAAUUCCAGAAUGGCACAGUACACACUCAGUCAGUCAGCCGUAGUGACAAGUUAGUCUUUACUUUAUUUCAGCUUUUGAUUACAUGGCAAUGAUAGAAACCUCAAAUCAAACACUACGAAACAAAAAGAAAAAUGGCUAAUAAUAACAUCAUAUUGCUACAUUAAAACUCCAAAAUAACAUGAAAAAAAAAACAGAUAAAUCCACUAUACAUUUAAGUAUAUACAACCUUGAUAAAUAACCAGUAACCAAAUUCUGUCUAGAUUUCUGAUUGUUUUAUUUGCGGUUUCCUUGUCAUCUCUAUAAGCAGUCUGCUGAGACGAGGCUAGGAGAAACUAAUCAGGGAAACAGGGCUAUGUGCUAUGGAAGCAGAUUCUUGGCACAAAAAAAAUAUUGAAAUAAAACUAAUACUGAUGAAUAAUUUGUCAAUAUCAAUGCUUCUUUAUUUUUGGCAUGAAUGUGCCUCCAUAAAUGAGGAAAAACAUGAAUAACAGACAGCCAGGCACUGAUCAAAGAGUAGAGAAGGUUUUAUGCACAAAUAAAGCUGCAUUUGCUGGAUGCCAUUGUGAUGCCAUGUACGAUUCCACUUUAAAAACACAUCAUGUAUACCAAAGCUGACUUAAGAGGUCUUGCACUGGGAGAAUAGUUCACCACUAUGGAGCAUAGUGGUACAUUCCUGAUCAGAGUAGUUCACCACUAUGGAGCAUAGUGGUACAUUCCUGAUCAGAGUAGUUCAGCACCAUGGAGCAUAGUGGUACAUUCCUGAUCAGAGUAGUUCAGCACUAUGAAGCAUAGUGGUACAUUCCUGAUCAGAGUAGUUCAGCACUAUGGAGCAUAGUGGUACAUUCCUGAUCAGAGUAGUUCACCACUAUGGAGCAUAGUGGUACAUUCCUGAUCAGAGUAGUUCACCACUAUGGAGC